rnacentral:rRNA from 1 species
GAUGAACGCUGGCGGCGUGCCUAAUACAUGCAAGUCGAGCGAACGGACGAGAAGCUUGCUUCUCUGAUGUUAGCGGCGGACGGGUGAGUAACACGUGGAUAACCUACCUAUAAGACUGGGAUAACUUCGGGAAACCGGAGCUAAUACCGGAUAAUAUUUUGAACCGCAUGGUUCAAAAGUGAAAGACGGUCUUGCUGUCACUUAUAGAUGGAUCCGCGCUGCAUUAGCUAGUUGGUAAGGUAACGGCUUCCCAAGGCAACGAUGCAUAGCCGACCUGAGAGCGUGAUGGGCCACACUGGAACUGAGACACGGUCCAGACUCCGACGGAAGGCAGCAGUAGGGAAUCGACCGAGAUGGGCGAAAGCCUGACGGAGCAACGCCGCGUGGGUGAUGAAGGGCUUCGGAUCGUAUGACUCCGUUAUUGUGGAAGAACAUAUGUAUAAGUAACUGUGCACAUCUUGACGGUACCUGAUCAGAAAGCCACGGCUAACUACGUG